GUCCAGCCGCCGCGGUAAGACGGAGGGUCCAAGCGUUAUCCGGAAUCAUUGGGUUUAAAGGGUCCGUAGGCGGUCUGUUAAGUCAGAGGUGAAAUCCUACCGCUCAACGGUAGAAUUGCCUUUGAUACUGAUAGACUUGAGUUAUUGUGAAGUAGUUAGAAUGUGUAGUGUAGCGGUGAAAUGCAUAGAUAUUACACAGAAUACCAAUUGCGAAGGCAGAUUACUAACAAUACACUGACGCUGAGGGACGAAAGCGUGGGUAGCGAACAGGAUUAGAUA
rnacentral:rRNA from 1 species